GUCUUCAUGGUCUAGUCGGUUAUGACGUGAGUUGAGAUCUAUUUCGAACGUAAUUCGGGGAGAUUUCUAAUAUCAUUCCAGGUCGGUCUCAUAGAUCCAUCCGUUGGAAACCAACUAUGAUCUUGCGUGUUACAAACGCAAGAAGUUAUCCGAAGGUCGCGAGUUCGAUUCUCGCUGAGGACA